rnacentral:tRNA from 3 species
GCGGUCAGGGCACUCGGGUGCGAUGCCGCUUGUCGUGCGGCGGCACCCCGUUGACCCCGCCGAUCGAUUGGGCGUAGCUGCC